GCCCUUCAAUUGAAGGGACCCAAAAUGGUUGGCGCAGAACUGAUACUUGAAGGUUUUCAAACAUGGGCCUGCGGACCAUCUGGAAUAAUUACAAAGUCUUGAUUGUAAUGGGCACAAGCCUAGGACUCAUACACUGGGGUUGGUACAACAUCAAGUCGCAUCCUGCACUACACCAAAAUAAACAGGACUAUAUUCCUGAAUCUGGCAUUGCUGCGUACGUUUCGACAGCUCAGGCCCCCGUCAAACCAAAGUAGCUGCUGAAGGAGAGUGAGUGCUGUGCACAAACUUUGCACUUUGGACAACACUUACUAGGCUACGACUAGUGUUGGACUAUGAAGCCCCAGAGCUGGUUGAGGAAAAACUGGUUUUGGGUUGCGGGAGGGACAUUCCUUGGCAUCCAUUUAGCCACCUGGUUUAUGCAAAGGACUAUGAAAAGUGUUACCCGCUCUGAGAUGGCACUGAAGCAAAAAGGUGCCUAGGAGUAAUCUGUGGUUGGGUAUUUUCACAGUGGACUGUAUGUUUAAAGACUCACGUGUAGGUGUGACAAAAUAAAUGUCUUUGAAAUGUAAGUCAAGAUAACUGUGUGAUUACCCAUGAUUGAUUUGCCGUGUCAAUUUUAUUCCUGUAUUAGACAGAAAUAAAAUAAAAACAUUUGUAGGACAAACUGCAA